UGAUCCUAACCAUACUGUUCUGAUUCUACUCCUUUAACCUAGUCACACUGUCGUUCUGAUCCUAACCAUACUGUUCUGAUUCUACUCCUUUAACCUUGUCACACUGUCGUUCUGAUCCUAACCAUACUGUUCUGAUUCUACUCCUUUAACCUAGUCACACUGUCGUUCUGAUCCUAACCAUACUGUUCUGGUUCUACUCCUUUAACCUAGUCACACCGUCGUUCUGAUCCUAACCAUACUGUUCUGAUUCUACUCCUUUAACCUAGUCACACUGUCGUUCUGAUCCUAACCAUACUGUUCUGAUUCUACUCCUUUAACCUAGUCACACCGUCGUUCUGAUCCUAACCAUACUGUUCUGAUUCUACUCCGUAGUGUGAAAAGGACUGUUUUUUCAUCUUUGCCUUGUAACCAGAGAUUGAUUUGUCGCUGGGAAACUAGGUGUGUGCACACGUCAGCCAAUCAUUAGUUGAUCAUAAGUACCAGGGAGAAACACUAACCUAGCAGGACUGUGGAUGUCGAGGGCCUGAGUUUAUGCACCCUUGAUCAAGACAAUCAACUGUUACUGUAUUUCUCAGUGUUGAGUUUACCCAGGUCAACUGUUACCGUAUUUCUCAGUGUUGAGUUUACCCAGGUCAACUGUUAGUGUAUUUCUCAGUGUUGAGUUUACCCAGGUCAACUGUUACCGUAUUUCUCAGUGUUGAGUUUAUCCAGGUCAACUGUUAGUGUAUUUCUCAGUGUUGAGUUUACCCAGGUCAACUGGCUAACUCAUUGAUCCUGCCUGGUAGGUUUACCACCCAGCUCUGCCCAUUCAUGUCAUUAGAUAUAAACUGGGAUUUCUGAGUGCUCUGCACAGCUAUACCCAUCAAGGCAAAGCUAGUAGCUGCAAUGGAGACUGCAGAGAGAACAGAACCCUCCACAGUUACAACUGGGACGUAGACUUCUCAAUGAUUGUACAAACAUCAUCAUGGCAACAGAACGUGACUUAGGCCUUAUUGGUAACUGUAAUGAAUUAACAAAUGUAAUGAUUUAAUACCAGACAUGUACCCAGUUACAGUCCUCUUCCACUGCUUUUCCAUUUAAGUGUUUGAAAUUAGUAUUUGAAAAAAAUACAAAUUCUAAUUCAUAUGAAAAAGGGAAUCCAAAAGUAGUGACAAUUCCAAAACAUGUUUACGACCCUGUUAUUACAUGGUAAUUACAAAGCUUAUUUCAUUGGUAGUUAAUAUGGUAUAACAAGGCGAAGCCUAUGGUGUCAAGCGUGGCCGGAAACAUUACUGUACUAGAAGGAUUGGUACACUUGCAGUCCCGCAGUCAAACACACUCCAGGUCAGGGAUGGGCAACUCCAGUCCUCGAGGGCCUGAUUGAUUGGAGUUUCCCAUCCCUACUCCAGGGGAAUGGAGUUACCCAUACCUGCUCCAGGGGAAUGGAGUUACCCAUCCCUGCUCCAGGGGAAUGGAGUUACCCCUCCCUGCUCCCCUCCCUGCUCCAGGGGAAUAGAGUUACCCAUCCCUGCUCCAGGGGAAUAGAGUUACCCAUCCCUGCUCCAGGGGAAUAGAGUUGCCCAUCCCUGCUCCAGGGGAAUGGAGUUACCCCUCCCUGCUCCCCUCCCUGCUCCAGGGGAAUAGAGUUACCCAUCCCUGCUCCAGGGGACUGGAGUUACCCCUCCCUGCUCCAGGGGAAUAGAGUUGCCCAUCCCUGCUCCAGGGGAAUGGAGUUGCCCAUCCCUGCUCCAGGGGAAUAGAGUUGCCGAUCCCUGCUCCAGGGGAAUGGAGUUACCCAUCCCUGCUCCAGGGGAAUGGAGUUGCCCAUUCAUGCUCCAGGGGAAUACUGUUGCCCAUCCCUGCUCCAGGGGAAUAUAGUUGCCCAUCCCUGCUUCACGGGAAUAGAGUUGCUCAUCCCUGCUCCACGGGAAUAGAGUUGCCCAUCCCUGCUCCAGGGGAAUGGAGUUGCCCCUCCCUGCUCCAGGGGAAUGGAGUUACCCCUCCCUGCUCCAGGGGAAUGGAGUUGCCCAUCCCUGCUCCAGGGGAAUGGAGUUGCCCAUCCCUGCUCCAGGGGAAUAGAGUUGCCCAUCCCUGCUCCAGGGGAAUGGAGUUACCCCUCCCUGCUCCAGGGGAAUAGAGUUGCCCAUCCCUGCUCCAGGGGAAUAGCGUUGCCCAUCCCUGCUCCAGGGGAAUCGAGUUGCCGAUCCCUGCUCCAGGGGAAUGGAGUUACCCAUCCCUGCUCCAGGGGAAUGGAGUUGCCCAUUCAUGCUCCAGGGGAAUACUGUUGCCCAUCCCUGCUCCAGGGGAAUAUAGUUGCCCAUCCCUGCUUCACGGGAAUAGAGUUGCUCAUCCCUGCUCCACGGGAAUAGAGUUGCCCAUCCCUGCUCCAGGGGACUGGAGUUACCCCUCCCUGCUCCAGGGGACUCGAGUUGCCCAUUCAUGCUCCAGGGGAAUAGAGUUGCACAUCCCUGCUCCAGGGGAAUAGAGUUGCACAUCCCUGCUUCACGGGAAUAGAGUUGCACAUCCCUGCUCCAGGGGAAUAGAGUUGCCCAUCCCUGCUCCAGGGGACUGGAGUUGCCCAUCCCUGCUCCAGGGGAAUGGAGUUGCCCAUUCAUGCUCCAAGGGAAUAGAGUUGCCCAUCCCUGCUCCAGGGGAAUGGAGUUGCCCAUCCCUGCUCCAGGGGAAUGGAGUUGCCCAUCCCUGCUCCAGGGGAAUGGAGUUGCCCAUCCCUGCUCUAGGAGAAUGGAUGACAAAAAGUGAGGGAGACUGAAAGACAGAUACACAGUCCAGGGUUCACUAAGGCCUGAGGGUCAAGGACACACCCUGAGAUAGAUGAACUGCAGGAAGGCUGGGUUGUAGUCAUUAGGGCACAGCGUAGCAAAACGUUUUGCAACUAAAAACAAUUGUUUCUUAUUGUUCUGGUAUCCGUCCCUGUUUCAGUCAGUUUCCUUCUGUUUGGUGCAUAGUAAACACUACCCUGUUGAGACAGUGAGACGUCACAUUGGCAUAGAUUCCACACCCCAGACAAUCAAGGCAGCUUUGUGUUUGUUUUUGUGUGUGAGUUUAUUACAGCACAAUCUUACCAACGCCAAAGAGGUUUGCAUGCAGUGUUUUACUGUAUAUUGUGAAAAAGCUUGUGCUAUUAUGCUGCAAUUUCAGCUUAGCUUGAUCCAUGUUGAGGAUGGGUUUGCAUGGACACCACCUUGGCCUUGUUAGCUCCCUAGGAACUGUGAUUAUGUAUGUAUGCCUCUGACUGAAUCAAUGUCAGUGUAAAACUGAGUGUGUGUGUGUGUCUGUCUGUCAGAAUAUAUAUAUAUAUAUGAGUUGUUUUGAAAGAUGUCAUACCUCAAGUAUGUAUGUGUUGUUGUCAAAUGAGAGGAUUGUACUGUAUAUACCAAAUAAAGUAUACUUUUGAACAGGU
rnacentral:lncRNA from 1 species